rnacentral:rRNA from 1 species
UACGUAGGGUGCAAGCGUUGUCCGGAAUUAUUGGGCGUAAAGAGCUCGUAGGUGGCCUGUCGCGUCGGCUGUGAAAACUCGGGGCUCAACUCCGAGCUUGCAGUCGAUACGGGCAGGCUAGAGUUCGGCAGGGGAGACUGGAAUUCCUGGUGUAGCGGUGAAAUGCGCAGAUAUCAGGAGGAACACCGGUGGCGAAGGCGGGUCUCUGGGCCGAUACUGACACUGAGGAGCGAGAGCGUGGGGAGCGAACAGG